UUUGAAGUAGAAGAGAGCCCCGA
rnacentral:miRNA from 1 species